rnacentral:rRNA from 1 species
AAGCCUGAUGCAGCAACGCCGCGUGAGGGAUGACGGCCUUCGGGUUGUAAACCUCUUUUGGUAGGGAAGAAGCCUUCGGGUGACGGUACCUGCAGAAAAAGCGCCGGCUAACUACGUGCCAGCAGCCGCGGUAAUACGUAGGGCGCAAGCGUUAUCCGGAAUUAUUGGGCGUAAAGAGCUCGUAGGCGGUCUGUCGCGUCUGCUGUGAAAUUCCGAGGCUCAACCUCGGGCUUGCAGUGGGUACGGGCAGACUAGAGUGCGGUAGGGGAGAUUGGAAUUCCUGGUGUAGCGGUGGAAUGCGCAGAUAUCAGGAGGAACACCGAUGGCGAAGGCAGAUCUCUGGGCCGUAACUGACGCUGAGGAGCGAAAGGGUGGGGAGCAAACAGGCUUAGAUACCCUGGUAGUCCACCCCGUAAACGUUGGGAACUAGUUGUGGGGUCCUUUCCACGGAUUCCGUGACGUAGCUAACGCAUUAAGUUCCCCGCCUGGGGAGUACGGCCGCAAGGCUAAAACUCAAAGGAAUUGACGGGGACCCGCACAAGCGGCGGAGCAUGCGGAUUAAUUCGAUGCAACGCGAAGAACCUUACCAAGGCUUGACAUACACCAGAACGGGCCAGAAAUGGUCAACUCUUUGGACACUGGUGAACAGGUGGUGCAUGGUUGUCGUCAGCUCGUGUCGUGAGAUGUUGGGUUAAGUCCCGCAACGAGCGCAACCCUCGUUCUAUGUUGCCAGCACGUAAUGGUGGGAACUCAUGGGAUACUGCCGGGGUCAACUCGGAGGAAGGUGGGGAUGACGUCAAAUCAUCAUGCCCCUUAUGUCUUGGGCUUCACGCAUGCUACAAUGGCCGGUACAAUGGGCUGCGAUACCGCGAGGUGGAGCGAAUCCCAAAAAGCCGGUCCCAGUUCGGAUUGAGGUCUGCAACUCGACCUCAUGAAGUCGGAGUCGCUAGUAAUCGCAGAUCAGCAACGCUGCGGUGAAUACGUUCCCGGGUCUUGUACACACCGCCCGUCAAGUCAUGAAAGUCGGUAACACCUGAAGCCGGUGGCCCAACCCUUGUGGAGGGAGCCGUCGAAGGUGGGAUCGGUAAUUAGGACUAAGUCGUAACAAGGUAGCCGUACCGGAAGGUGCGGCUG